rnacentral:rRNA from 1 species
CCUACGGGGGGCAGCAGUGGGGAAUAUUGCACAAUGGGCGAAAGCCUGAUGCAGCGACGCCGCGUGAGGGAUGACGGCCUUCGGGUUGUAAACCUCUUUCAGUAGGGAAGAAGCCCCUUUUGGGGUGACGGUACUUGCAGAAGAAGCGCCGGCUAACUACGUGCCAGCAGCCGCGGUAAUACGUAGGGCGCAAGCGUUAUCCGGAAUUAUUGGGCGUAAAGAGCUCGUAGGCGGUUUGUCGCGUCUGCCGUGAAAGUCCGAGGCUCAACCUCGGAUCUGCGGUGGGUACGGGCAGACUAGAGUGAUGUAGGGGAGACUGGAAUUCCUGGUGUAGCGGUGAAAUGCGCAGAUAUCAGGAGGAACACCGAUGGCGAAGGCAGGUCUCUGGGCAUUUACUGAC